GUAAAUACUUGAAUUAAUUAAGUAAUUCAUUUUAUUUGUUUGAAACUAGUUUUGAAUAAUUUUUAAACCAAUUAUACUUAUCGAUACCAGCUAUCGAAAAAAACAACAAACGAUACCGAUUCUUUUGGUAUAUUUGAUGUAUACAUUGUGGAAUAUUCAAUAAUCGCAGCCUGGUCACAUUUGUGAAAAUUUUUGACGCAAAGCGAACAGAAAAAAAAAAUGGAGAACAAUACAUACGCAAAAAUCGAUCAAACGCUGAGAAAUUUUUUUUUGUUAAAAUACAAAACGACAUUACAUGCAAAAUAACCAAUUUGGCGUUAAUGCAAAUUACUUGCACAUGACGCGCCUUUUGAAACCGACUUUGGGCCAUCAAUUCAAUGCUUGAAUGGACUAUGAACACUUUUUCCGGCCGAAAAAUAUGCCAAUGCUGGCAACACGCACUCACCUGGCGAUGCAGAAUAUUUAAAUACUUCGCAAUCAAUUUUUAAUUGUAUUUUCAACCAAAGCAAAACGCUAGAGCUGACACUUCA